AUUGAACGCUGGCGGCAUGCCUUACACAUGCAAGUCGAACGGCAGCACGGGUGCUUGCACCUGGUGGCGAGUGGCGAACGGGUGAGAAAUACAUCGGAACAUGUCCUGUAGUGGGGGAUAGCCCGGCGAAAGCCGGAUUAAUACCGCAUACGAUCUACGGAUGAAAGCGGGGGACCUUCGGGCCUCGCGCUAUAGGGUUGGCCGAUGGCUGAUUAGCUAGUUGGUGGGGUAAAGGCCUACCAAGGCGACGAUCAGUAGCUGGUCUGAGAGGACGACCAGCCACACUGGGACUGAGACACGGCCCAGACUCCUGCGGGAGGCAGCAGUGGGGAAUUUUGGACAAUGGGCGAAAGCCUGAUCCAGCAAUGCCGCGUGUGUGAAGAAGGCCUUCGGGUUGUAAAGCACUUUUGUCCGGAAAGAAAUCCUUGGCCCUAAUACGGUCGGGGGAUGACGGUACCGGAAGAAUAAGCACCGGCUAACUACGUG
rnacentral:rRNA from 1 species